UGUUCUGUGGCUUAGUUGGUUAAAGCGCCGGUCUAGCGAAUACGGAGUCGUGGGUUAGAAUCCCACCAGUACGC
rfam:Aedes albopictus isolate Foshan contig81095, whole genome shotgun sequence.